rnacentral:rRNA from 1 species
UAGGGAAUAUUGGGCAAUGGACGAGAGUCUGACCCAGCCAUGCCGCGUGCCGGAUGAAGGCCUUCUGGGUUGUAAACGGCUUUUCUCAGGGAAGAAAACGGGUAUGCGUACCACACUGACGGUACCUGAGGAAUAAGCACCGGCUAACUCCGUGCCAGCAGCCGCGGUAAUACGGAGGGUGCAAGCGUUGUCCGGAUUUAUUGGGUUUAAAGGGUGCGUAGGCGGCCCGUUAAGUCCGGGGUGAAAGCCCACUGCUCAACAGUGGAACUGCCCUGGAUACUGGCGGGCUUGAGUCCAGACGAGGUUGGCGGAAUGGAUGCUGUAGCGGUGAAAUGCAUAGAUAGCAUCCAGAACCCCGAUUGCGAAGGCAGCUGACUAGGCUGGUACUGACGCUGAGGCACGAAAGCGUGGGGAGCGAACA